rnacentral:rRNA from 1 species
UACGUAGGGGGCAAGCGUUGUCCGGAAUUAUUGGGCGUAAAGAGCUCGUAGGCGGUUUGUCACGUCUGCUGUGAAAUCCCGAGGCUCAACCUCGGGCCUGCAGUGGGUACGGGCAGACUGGAGUGCGGUAGGGGAGAAUGGAAUUCCUGGUGUAGCGGUGGAAUGCGCAGAUAUCAGGAGGAACACCGAUGGCGAAGGCAGUUCUCUGGGCCGUAACUGACGCUGAGGAGCGAAAGCGUGGGGAGUGAACAGG